GUCAAACCAUUUUUAUUCACAAAUUUCGUGAGAAACUUUUUAAAAUAAGACUAUGUGUAGAGUAUAAUCUGAUGCAGAGGGCUGCAGGAGAUAGGACAAUUGGAUUAUGUAAGAUACAUGUACCCACUUCUACCCAAAGCAGCACAUACAAUUACAUAAGCAGUACCUUCGACAGAAAGUUUAUGCCAUGCUUGUUAUAGGAGAGGGUUAUUAACUUGUGACAUAGUGGUAAUUUAGUGAAGUUUGUUCAUAGUGAGAAUAAUAUUACACUUUAGUCUCAUUUGCUGUACUCAUGGUACUUGGAUCUUAGAAACAAUAUUCAAUUUAGCGUGAUUUCCCGACACACAGAUCUACAGGAAAUUACACCAAUCUCAUCGCGCGCUCUAUGCCUCGUGCAGCACGUGCAGAGGACACACUGCGGCAGACAACGUGACACGCCCGCCCUCAUCGUUAGAAGUGGAAAAUGAGGAUGCUUUCAAAUGUCGGAUGGAUAAUACAUAUCGAUAAUGAUACGCUGAAAGUGUCCCUGGUAGUAAGGGGAUUAUUGAUGUUCGGACGCGAUCCAUUUUGUGUGUGUGACGAACUAGGCCUAGAAGGUCAAGCAGAGGGUAACACUCUUUUCGCUUGGAGUCUCCUGCUGACCCUCGUACUGGACAUGAACUUCUUCCAUUCAUGCGUUUUACAGAAACAGAUCAAUAUCAACUUCUCCAUGGCAACGUAAACUUGUUACAAAUUUAUAGAAACAACCACCAAGCGAGAAAAGGAGAAUCGCGGUCGAUUGAGGUCGCCCCACUACAACAGCACUACGGAAUGCAUGACGUUACUACAGUUGUAUAGAAAAAACAAGUGCGCAGCCGCAGUGGCGAUAUUAUCAUAACUCAAGGACCUCACCUAAGAUUCACCCCGAGUGACCGCCAGGAAACUUUUUUUUUCAGAUACGUUAUGUGCAGUAUUGAUGGGAACAGGCAUGCGGAACCCUAAGGAUGAAAAAAUCGUUAAAAAUCUUCAAACACCGAGCAAUACUGCAGCUUAUCAUUGGGAGUGUUUUAAUUUUGUUCAGAUGAAUGAAAAAUACCAUUACAUGCCAUUAAAUUAAUGCUUGUUUGACGAACACGUGUAUCCUUUGAAACAAAGGAAGCGAGAAUAAAAGACUUAUUCAUCUGUACAGAACGGAUUCUUCAAUUAUAAAGACGGGAGGAUGGUAUGAUGAUAAUGAAGAAUGAUGAACUAACACUUAUUUAGAAGUAUAAAAAUUCAAAUAUGGCAUGAUUAUACAUACUGGUCUGGAGGUUAUAAAACUUGUACCGUACUUAUACUCAGUCAUGUUUGUUUUGAGUACAACUCUGAGCAAGCUCCAAGCUUACUCGAAAAAUCCUGAGCUUGUACUCCAUUUCAGUAGGAGAAUGAUUUUAUGAAAGUUUUAUAAACUUCACUUUUGAGAAUGAGUACGAUUUAGAGCACGGAAUUUGAGUUUGAGUAUGAAAACGUGCUCAAAAAAGGUUUUAUAACCCCCAGGCCAGGACUGUAAUAUGAAUUUUGUAUUUCAUUACUGCCUAAAACCUCCAACUGUUACACGCACC